UACGGAGGAUCCGAGCGUUAUCCGGAAUCAUUGGGUUUAAAGGGUCCGUAGGCGGGCAAUUAAGUCAGUGGUGAAAGUCUUCCGCUCAACGGGAGAACUGCCAUUGAUACUGAUUGUCUUGAGUUAUUAUGAAGUGGUUAGAAUGAGUAGUGUAGCGGUGAAAUGCAUAGAUAUUACUCAGAAUACCGAUUGCGAAGGCAGAUCACUAAUAAUACACUGACGCUGAUGGACGAAAGCGUAGGUAGCGAACAGG
rnacentral:rRNA from 1 species